rnacentral:rRNA from 1 species
UGAGGAAUAUUGGUCAAUGGCCGAGAGGCUGAACCAGCCAAGCCGCGUGACGGAAGAAGGCGCUAGGCGUCGUAAACGUCUUUUGCCGGGGAACAAAAGCGGGCAUGCGUGCCUGUGUGAGUGUACCCGGAGAAAAAGCAUCGGCUAACUCCGUGCCAGCAGCCGCGGUAAUACGGAGGAUGCGAGCGUUAUCCGGAUUUAUUGGGUUUAAAGGGUGCGUAGGCGGACUGUUAAGUCAGCGGUAAAAGACCGUGGCUCAACCAUGGCAAGCCGUUGAAACUGGUGGUCUUGAGUUGGCGAGAGGCAUGCGGAAUGCGCGGUGUAGCGGUGAAAUGCAUAGAUAUCGCGCAGAACUCCGAUUGCGAAGGCAGCAUGCUGGCGCCACACUGACGCUGAGGCACGAAAGCGUGGGUAUCGAACAGG